rnacentral:rRNA from 2 species
UGGGGAAUAUUGGACAAUGGGCGGAAGCCUGAUCCAGCCAUGCCGCGUGUGUGAAGAAGGCCUUUUGGUUGUAAAGCACUUUAAGCGAGGAGGAGGCUACUUGGAUUAAUACUCUAGGAUAGUGGACGUUACUCGCAGAAUAAGCACCGGCUAACUCUGUGCCAGCAGCCGCGGUAAUACAGAGGGUGCGAGCGUUAAUCGGAUUUACUGGGCGUAAAGUGUGCGUAGGCGGCUUCUUAAGUCGGAUGUGAAAUCCCUGAGCUUAACUUAGGAAUUGCAUUCGAUACUGGGAAGCUAGAGUAUGGGAGAGGAUGGUAGAAUUCCAGGUGUAGCGGUGAAAUGCGUAGAGAUCUGGAGGAAUACCGAUGGCGAAGGCAGCCAUCUGGCCUAAUACUGACGCUGAGGUACGAAAGCAUGGGGAGCAAACAGG